CGUUGUAUACUAGUUGUGGGGGGAAUUAGCCCCCUCCGUGACUGAGCUAACGCAUUAAGUAUACCGCCUGGGGACUACGGCCGCAAGGCUAAAACUCAAAGGAAUUGACGGGGACCCGCACAAGCGGUGGAGCAUGUGGCUUAAUUCGAGGCAACGCGAAGAACCUUACCUGGUCUUGACAUAUUUAUGAUCGCUGUAGAAAUACAGUUUCCCUUCGGGGCAUUUAUACAGGUGCUGCAUGGCUGUCGUCAGCUCGUGCUGUGAAGUGUUCGGUUAAGUCCGGCAACGAGCGCAACCCACGUCAUUAUUUGCCAUCAGGUUAUGCUGGGAACUAUAAUGAGACUGCCCGUGUUAAACGGGAGGAAGGCGUGGACGACGUCAAGUCAGUAUGGCCCUUAUGACCAGGGCUGCACACGUGCUACAAUGGGCGAUACAGAGGGAUGCAAUGCCGCGAGGUGGAGCAAAUCCGUAAAGUCGUCCUUAGUUCGGAUUGUAGUCUGCAACUCGACUACAUGAAGUUGGAAUCGCUAGUAAAGGCGUAUCAGCUACGACGCCUUGAAUACGUUCCCGGGUCUUGUACACACCGCCCGUCACAUCAUGGAAGCGGAUUGCACCCGAAGCCGGUGGUCUAACCCUUUAUUGGGAGGAAGCCGUCGAAGGUGUGAUUGGUAACUAGGAUGAAGUCGUAACAAGGUAACC
rnacentral:rRNA from 1 species